GUUCUUGUUCCUCCCUGCUAAAAGACAGACUUCACUAGAGUAUCACCUGUGCAUCUUUCACCUAUUUUUUCUCUCAUCCUCGUAGUCCUAGAUGAGCAUGACAGAAGAAAAUGACGAGAUUGCUACCAAGACAAGGCUGCUGUCACUUGAACUAUUGGAGGCGUGCGCCCGUGCUCAUGUGCCUCCAUGUGUGGCUCUCUAAUCAGAUCUAGGAACUGCCUCCCUAUGCAGCAGGGGCCAAACUAUGUGCCACCGUAUGCAUAGUCAGAUCUCUAAUUAGAUGACCUGCCUCCACUAUUGUACGCAUGUUAAGCUCGGACAUUUAAUUGCAUCUGGAAAGGCCUAAGAGAGUUAUCCCCCAUGGGAACAGAGACC